GAUGAACGCUAGCGGCAGGCCUAAUACAUGCAAGCCGAACGGCAAGUUGAGUAGCAAUACUUGACCUAGAGUGGCGUAAGGGUGCGUAACACGUAUGCAAUCUGCCCCUCAACAGGAGGAUAGCCUCCCCGGAAAGGGGAAUUAACCCUCCAUGGGAUCUUAGAGUGGCAUCACUUAGAGAUUAAACCGCAAGGGGUUGAGGAUGAGCAUGCGCAUGUA
rnacentral:rRNA from 1 species